rnacentral:rRNA from 1 species
CGCCGAAAAUGAACGGGACUCAAGUACGACACCGAAGCCUCGGACUCACAGGCCACAGGCGUCUGUGUUUGGUAGGGGAGCGUCGAACGCGGGCUGAAGCCGUACCGCAAGGAACGGUGGACUGCGUUCGAGUGAUUAUGCCGGAACGAGUAGCGAGAAACGAAGUGAGAAGCUUCGUCGCCGUAAGCCUAAGGUUUCCU